UACAUGUGGGGCAAGCGUUGUUCGGAAUUACUGGGCAUAAAGGGUGCGUAGGUGGCUUGUUAAGUCAGGGGUGAAAGUUUUCGGCCCAACCGGAAAAUGGCCUUCGAUACUGGCGAGCUCGAGUGCGUGAGGGGUAACCGGAACGAGCAGUGUAGCGGUGAAAUGCGUAGAUAUUGCUCGGAAGGCCAACGGCGAAGGCAGGUUACGUGGUGCGCAACUGACACUGAGGCACGAAGCGUGGGAG
rnacentral:rRNA from 1 species